AUUGAACGCUGGCGGCAUGCCUUACACAUGCAAGUCGAACGGCAGCACGGGAGCAAUCCUGGUGGCGAGUGGCGAACGGGUGAGUAAUAUAUCGGAACGUGCCCAGUCGUGGGGGAUAACGUAGCGAAAGCUACGCUAAUACCGCAUACGAUCUAUGGAUGAAAGCGGGGGAUCGCAAGACCUCGCGCGAUUGGAGCGGCCGAUAGCAGAUUAGGUAGUUGGUGAGGUAAAGGCUCACCAAGCCGACGAUCUGUAGCUGGUCUGAGAGGACGACCAGCCACACUGGGACUGAGACACGGCCCAGACUCCUACGGGAGGCAGCAGUGGGGAAUUUUGGACAAUGGGCGCAAGCCUGAUCCAGCAAUGCCGCGUGCAGGAUGAAGGCCUUCGGGUUGUAAACUGCUUUUGUACGGAGCGAAAAGGCUUCCACUAAUACUGGGGGCUCAUGACGGUACCGUAAGAAUAAGCACCGGCUAACUACGUGCCAGCAGCCGCCGUAACAC
rnacentral:rRNA from 1 species